CUUGGUCAUUUAGAGGAAGUAAAAGUCGUAACAAGGUCUCCGUUGGUGAACCAGCGGAGGGAUCAUUACCGAGUUUACAACUCCCAAACCCCUGUGAACAUACCAAUUGUUGCCUCGGCGGAUCAGCCCGCUCCCGGUAAAACGGAGCGGCCCGCCAGAGGACCCCUAAACUCUGUUUCUAUAUGUAACUUCUGAGUAAAACCAUAAAUAAAUCAAAACUUUCAACAACGGAUCUCUUGGUUCUGGCAUCGAUGAAGAACGCAGCAAAAUGCGAUAAGUAAUGUGAAUUGCAGAAUUCAGUGAAUCAUCGAAUCUUUGAACGCACAUUGCGCCCGCCAGUAUUCUGGCGGGCAUGCCUGUUCGAGCGUCAUUUCAACCCUCAAGCACAGCUUGGUGUUGGGACUCGCGUUAAUUCGCGUUCCUCAAAUUGAUUGGCGGUCACGUCGAGCUUCCAUAGCGUAGUAGUAAAACCCUCGUUACUGGUAAUCGUCGCGGCCACGCCGUUAAACCCCAACUUCUGAAUGUUGACCUCGGAUCAGGUAGGAAUACCCGCUGAACUUAAGCAUAUCAAUAAGCGGAGGA
rnacentral:rRNA from 1 species